rnacentral:lncRNA from 1 species
GGGGGGGGGGAGUAGCCCUGUCACCUUCCAGACAUAAAAUCCUUCCUGUCUGUGUGACAGGACACGCCCCACCUGGGUUACAGCUCCAUCUGUCAGCCUGAAGGGUGGUUACGGGGAACAGGGCGGAAGGAGGAACCCUGCCUCAGGCCUAAUGAAGUGACUUAAGAUACUUCCUCCAACAGGUGCCCAUCUGGGUGGCGUCAAGACCAUCGUAAAGACGUCUGCAGGCGGAGGUGGCCCGGGCUUUGUUGUGCGGGGGAGGGGAUCGGGCCGGGCACUCCUCCGGUCCGCGGCAGGGUGCCAGGCACCUGCUCCAGGUGAAGCGGCACCUGCCAGAAACCGAACGCUGAGGACCCAGAGUAGGGCGUGGGGACGAGAGGCACCGGGACCCGCAGC